UACAGAGGGGGCAAGCGUUGUUCGGAAUUACUGGGCGUAAAGGGCGCGUAGGCGGCCUUCUAAGUCGAACGUGAAAUCCCCGGGCUCAACCCGGGAACUGCGUCCGAGACUGGAAGGCUUGAAUCCGGGAGAGGGAUGCGGAAUUCCAGGUGUAGCGGUGAAAUGCGUAGAUAUCUGGAGGAACACCGGUGGCGAAGGCGGCAUCCUGGACCGGCAUUGACGCUGAGGCGCGAAAGCCAGGGGAGCAAACGGG
rnacentral:rRNA from 1 species